rnacentral:rRNA from 1 species
CGGUUUGGGUGGCGGACGGGUGAGUAACGCGUAAAGAACUUGCCUCACAGUUAGGGACAACAUUUGGAAACGAAUGCUAAUACCUGAUAUUAUGAUUUUAGGGCAUCCUAAGAUUAUGAAAGCUAUAUGCGCUGUGAGAGAGCUUUGCGUCCCAUUAGCUAGUUGGAGAGGUAACGGCUCACCAAGGCGAUGAUGGGUAGCCGGCCUGAGAGGGUGAACGGCCACAAGGGGACUGAGACACGGCCCUUACUCCUACGGGAGGCAGCAGUGGGGAAUAUUGGACAAUGGACCAAAAGUCUGAUCCAGCAAUUCUGUGUGCACGAUGACGUUUUUCGGAAUGUAAAGUGCUUUCGGUUGGGAAGAAAAAAAUGACGGUACCAACAGAAGAAGUGACGGCUAAAUACGUGCCAGCAGCCGCGGUAAUACGUAUGUCACAAGCGUUAUCCGGAUUUAUUGGGCGUAAAGCGUGUCUAGGUGGUUAUGUAAGUCUGAUGUGAAAAUGCAGGGCUCAACUCUGUAUUGCGUUGGAAACUGCGUAACUAGAGUACUGGAGAGGUAAGCGGAACUACAAGUGUAGAGGUGAAAUUCGUAGAUAUUUGUAGGAAUGCCGAUGGGGAAGCCAGCUUACUGGACAGAUACUGACGCUAAAGCGCGAAAGCGU